rnacentral:tRNA from 2 species
CGGGGUGUAGCGAAGCUUGGUAUCGCGCUUGGUUCGGGACCAAGAGGCCGAAGGUUCAAAUCCUUUCACUCCGACCA